AAAAGUAAAGUGAGAAAAGCCCCAGUGAAAAGUAAGGGCAAUGUAUCAAAUUUGCAGUUCUGAAAGGCUAUGUUUUCAAGAAAAUUAGGCUUAUUCGGAAAGCUUGCUGUCCACCCUGACUUUGAAACUGCGAGAUAUUUUCCUAAAUACAAAUGAAGUAGUGUUGUAUAUGGAGACUGUGGAAGAAGAAGAAGUCAAACGAGGCUACCUGACUAGCUGUUCAUCAAUAGGGGUGAUAAUGGCGCAUUUUUUCGGAGUGUUGAUUUUCAUUUACACAGUGUAUUUAGCAAAACCUGGAUUCACUUUAUUUUCAUGGCACCCAACUUUGAUGUCACUCAGUUUUGCUGUGUUGAUGUUGGAGGCCAUUCUAAUGUUUUCACCAUACAGUUCAUUGAUACCAAAUGCUAGCCGAAUGGAAAAGGCUAAAUACCACUGGCUUUUCCAAAUUGCUUCACUUAUUACCUCCAUUCUGGGACUGUUUGCCAUCUAUGAGCACAAAGAACGCAACAAAGAAAAUCCUGUCCAUUUUCAUUCUUGGCAUGCAAAAGUGGGACUGGCUGCUGUGGUUUUAUCCUUGGUUAAUUCGCUUUCCGGCAUUGGUUUGCUUUAUCCAAAUUCAGCCAUCUGGAAUCCACUUAAAGCAAAGCUAGGAGUAAGAAAGAGACUACAUGCUGUGUUUGGCUCAUUGGUGUUUCUAGUGGCAACUGCUGCUUUGAUCUUGAGUUUAUAUACAAAUUGGUUCAGUAAAGUAGGUGGAGAAUUCAUUUGGUAUGCAAUGCUGACGCUGAUAACAGUUGUGGCAUCAGUUGUCACAAAUCAAGUUGCUAAUGAAUUCAUUUUUUCCAGAAGAAAAUGAGUCAGCACUGAAUUAUUGGAUACUUGAUACACAAAUAGAGGUUAUUUAACCCACAAACAUCUCAGAUUAGAUUGAUAAGACUCUCUGAAUCUUU